rnacentral:tRNA from 1 species
GAGGCACUAGUAAACUUUCAUUACAUUGCCUUGUCAAGGCAAAAUUGCGGGUUAAACUCCCGCGUGCCUCU